UACGUAGGGCGCAAGCGUUAUCCGGAAUUAUUGGGCGUAAAGAGCUCGUAGGCGGUUUGUCGCGUCUGCUGUGAAAACCCGGAGGCUCAACCUCCGGCCUGCAGUGGGGUACGGGCAAACUAGAGUGCGGUAGGGGAGAUUGGAAUUCCUGGUGUAGCGGUGGAAUGCGCAGAUAUCAGGAGGAACACCGAUGGCGAAGGCAGAUCUCUGGGCCGUAACUGACGCUGAGGAGCGAAAGCGUGGGGAGCGAACAGG
rnacentral:rRNA from 1 species